GCUUACGGCCACACCACGCUGAGCACGCCCGAUCUCGGAAGCUAAGCAGGGUCGGGCCUGGUUAGUACUUGGAUGGGAGACCGCCUGGGAAUACCAGGUGCUGUAAGCU
rnacentral:rRNA from 1 species